GAUGGGCGUGCUUAAUACAUGCAAGUCGAGCGGACAGAAGGGAGCUUGCUCCCGGAUGUUAGCGGCGGACGGGUGAGUAACACGUGGGUAACCUGCCUGUAAGACUGGGAUAACUCCGGGAAACCGGAGCUAAUACCGGAUAGUUCCUUGAACCGCAUGGUUCAAGGAUGAAAGACGGUUUCGGCUGUCACUUACAGAUGGACCCGCGGCGCAUUAGCUAGUUGGUGAGGUAACGGCUCACCAAGGCGACGAUGCGUAGCCGACCUGAGAGGGUGAUCGGCCACACUGGGACUGAGACACGGCCCAGACUCCUACGGGAGGCAGCAGUAGGGAAUCUUCCGCAAUGGACGAAAGUCUGACGGAGCAACGCCGCGUGAGUGAUGAAGGUUUUCGGAUCGUAAAGCUCUGUUGUUAGGGAAGAACAAGUGCAAGAGUAACUGCUUGCACCUUGACGGUACCUAACCAGAAAGCCACGGCUAACUACGUGCCAGCAGCCGCGGUAAUACGUAGGUGGCAAGCGUUGUCCGGAAUUAUUGGGCGUAAAGGGCUCGCAGGCGGUUUCUUAAGUCUGAUGUGAAAGCCCCCGGCUCAACCGGGGAGGGUCAUUGGAAACUGGGAAACUUGAGUGCAGAAGAGGAGAGUGGAAUUCCACGUGUAGCGGUGAAAUGCGUAGAGAUGUGGAGGAACACCAGUGGCGAAGGCGACUCUCUGGUCUGUAACUGACGCUGAGGAGCGAAUUUCUGCUCUCCC
rnacentral:rRNA from 1 species